rnacentral:rRNA from 1 species
UACGAAGGGGGCUAGCGUUACUCGGAUUGACUGGGCGUAAAGGGCGCGUAGGCGGUUUGUACAGUCAGACGUGAAAUUCCUGGGCUCAACCUGGGGGCUGCGUUUGAUACGUAUGGACUUGAGUUCGGAAGAGGGUCGUGGAAUUCCCAGUGUAGAGGUGAAAUUCGUAGAUAUUGGGAAGAACACCGGCGGCGAAGGCGGCGACCUGGUCCGAUACUGACGCUGAGGCGCGAAAGCGUGGGGAGCAAACAGG